GUUGCCCUGUCUCACUUUUGGCAGCGGGGCAAAAGUGGGCAGGGAGAGAGGAGGGCAUGGCCCAAAAGCUGCGUCCCAGCCCCUGUCCGUGCUGGUAUUAUACUCUGCCUUUCCCUUGUCUUGCAGGCGAAAGAAAGGACGUGGAAAUGCAGUUGUAUCCGAACACUAACCAACCUUUUUUCCUUUUUUUUCUCUUACCUCACCACUGUGGCCUUGUUUCUUUUGGGUGAACAAAAAACUCAGCUGGACUGACAAAUAUCUACUCCCACUUCAAGACUAUCUGUUCUCAAGGUUGAGGAAACAAGAUAACCUGCGUUGACAAAGAGGCCUUCACCCACAGGGGGAGCUCUUUGGAUGGAAAAAUAUAAUAAGAGGUUAGGUGACAAAAAGAUUGCACAGUUUUUGGGAGACCAGAGGAGAUUCUUUUUCAUGUAUACAUGCGAUUGUGUGUUGAUACUUAAAAGACUCUUGAAAACUCAAAAAACAUGUCCGAUUUUGAAGGAUAAUCUUCUGAACUUGAUGUUGAGCCUCGCAAGGUGAGGUAGUAGGUUGUAUAGUUUUUGGAAUAAAGCCGCUCCUGUAAAAUAACUAUACAGUUUAUUACCUUUCUUGAGAGGCACUGUGAUUUCUUGGGAAAAUAUGACACAAUACCGCCAUCGUGUGGCCUAAGAAUGGAACAACACUUCAAGUUUAUUGUGUAUCUGUUUUUUACCUUCAAUGCAACAAACCUAAACCUAUUAUAUUUGUUUUCAUGACUGAGCUUUUUACUUUUGUCUUUUCUGUAUUAUGAAACAAACCCAAACCCAUAUGACUGUUUAAAAUAAAGAAAUAUAACAUUAAAAACACCUCAAAGGCCAACUACUUGGGGAUUUUGAUAAAUACUAUUCUAUUUUUAUAGAGGUUUUACACAUUUUUGUCUGUUAUAGACUUUGAGACAUGUAAUUGGUGUUUUAUAAUUGCAGAUAAAGGACUCUUCUCUGCAUUUUUGUAUCAUGCUACUUGUCUGGGAUUUUUUUUUUCACUGAAGAAAAGCCAGCAUUCUAUAUAUUCAUUUUCCAAACCUGCUUUGGGGUCACGGGUUCCUGGAGUGGGGGUUUACCCUGGAUGGGCUGGACAAUUGCAGGGCUAUCUCUACAUUCUUGAUACUACAGUAAUUACCUGAGUCUGGAAUCUUCAAAUAUUGCAAAUCAAAGUGAGUAAAAAGGCAACGCUUGUACAUUUUGAGAACCAUGUUUACAUUGCUCUGGGCUAAAGUUUGGAAAAGUUAUGUAUUCACACCAACUCUGACCAGAAUAAUACUUGAUUUCGACUCCAGUCUUCUGUAUUUUGAGCACAGACAGAAAUGUACAUUUGGAACCUUCAGAAAUGUUUCUCAUAUAUUUUAUUUUUUCUUGUCUGGAGGUUGAGUCAUGGCCACUGGACUUAAAAACUUGAAACUCCUUGAAACGUUUCACCACUCAUUCAGGUAGCUUCAGUCUGAGGGUUGCCGGGUUCAGUCCAGAUUUGUAUCCUCCUGGUGGGACAGUCCUGCAAUUGGAUGCCUCAUCAAAGGGAACCAAAGAAGAGAAACACCUCUCCUCUUGUAAUCCUUCCUAUCCCCAUCACAGGGUUGUUGGAUGUGGCCGUCCUGUAGUUUUGGUCUUCUUUGGAACUAAUGAAAAGGCACAUAAGAGACAUUUUGUAUCAGAAUGUACUGACAAUCUUUUUUUUUGGCAUUUUGUAGUCGCCUAUGUCUCUGCAGGACUGUGGGUGUCCCAUCUGGACGAUACAAAUAUGGACUGAACCCUGCACCACUCAGACUCAUGAAGCCACUUGGAUGAGUGGCGAAAUGUUCCAAGGAAGAAGUUUUAAGUUCAGUUGGCAUGACUCAAGUUCAAGACAUCACCAAAAUGACCUUUUUUUGGACUUAAAUAUGACCCUUGUAACCAACUGAUGUAGAAGGAGGGUCUAAGGGUAUGCCCAGUUUAGCCUAUUCUAUUUAGUUUAGUUUACCCGUUACCUAUUGAAUUCUAUGACUUUGUGUUCUUUAUGGUUUUAUGUUUAUUAUCCAAAAUUGAGAUGGCUAUUGUUGUAAUAUUGGGCUAUAUAAAUAAAAUUGAAUUGCUGGGUAAUGGCUACUUAAGUCUGCACAUUAAAGUGUUUACAAAAACAACAAAAUAA